rnacentral:rRNA from 1 species
ACUAUUACGCCGUUAAACCCGCCCUGAGUAGUACCAGCCCUCACUUUAAACUCAAAGAAUUUGGCGGCACCCUCCCCCGUUAGAGGAACCUGCCCCAUAAAUGAUGACCCACGCUUCAAAAGUCCUAAGUUUACAGUUUGUAUACCGCCGUUUAGCGUGUAUUUUAAAAUACACUCGUAGUAGAUUUAACUAAAAAUUCAGGUCAAGGUGCAGCCUACGCUUAGGAGGAGGUGGGUUACAUUAAUUUUAAUUACACAAAUCUUAAUUAUAAAAAUUAAGUGAAGGUGGAUUUAAUAGUAAGUUUGGAUGUUAUCAAAACUGAAGGGG